AACGUAGGGGACGAACGUUAUCCGGAGUUACUGGGCGUAAAGGGCGUGUAGGCGGUUUGUUAAGUCUGGCGUGAAAGCUCUCGGCUAAACCGGGAGAGGUCGUUGGAUACUGGCGAACUCGAGGAUGGUAGAGGCGUGUGGAAUUCCGGGUGUAGUGGUGAAAUGCGUAGAGAUCCGGAGGAACACCAGUGGCGAAGGCGACACGCUGGGCCAUACCUGACGCUAAAGCGCGACAGCAUGGGGAGCAAACGGG
rnacentral:rRNA from 1 species